AUGAACGCUGGCGGCGUGCCUAAUACAUGCAAGUCGAGCGAACAGACGAGGAGCUUGCUCCUCUGACGUUAGCGGCGGACGGGUGAGUAACACGUGGAUAACCUACCUAUAAGACUGGGAUAACUUCGGGAAACCGGAGCUAAUACCGGAUAAUAUAUUGAACCGCAUGGUUCAAUAGUGAAAGACGGUUUUGCUGUCACUUAUAGAUGGAUCCGCGCCGCAUUAGCUAGUUGGUAAGGUAACGGCUUACCAAGGCAACGAUGCGUAGCCGACCUGAGAGGGUGAUCGGCCACACUGGAACUGAGACACGGUCCAGACUCCUACGGGAGGCAGCAGUAGGGAAUCUUCCGCAAUGGGCGAAAGCCUGACGGAGCAACGCCGCGUAAGUGAUGAAGGUCUUCGGAUCGUAAAACUCUGUUAUUAGGGAAGAACAAAUGUGUAAGUAACUAUGCACGUCUUGACGGUACCUAAUCAGAAAGCCACGGCUAACUACGUG
rnacentral:rRNA from 1 species